CGCCUUGCCAGCCCGCUCAGAAACUCAAAGGAAUUGACGGGGGCCCGCACAAGCGGAGGAGCAUGUGGUUUAAUUCGAUGAUACGCGAGGAACCUUACCUGGGCUCGAACGUAAGAUGACUGUAGGUGAAAGCUUACAUCUCUUCGGAGCAUUUUACGAGGUGCUGCAUGGUUGUCGUCAGCUCGUGCCGUGAGGUGUCGGGUUAAGUCCCAUAACGAGCGCAACCCCUACCUUUAGUUGCCAUCAGGUAAUGCUGGGGACUCUAAAGGAACUGCCUACGCAAGUAGUGAGGAAGGCGGGGAUGACGUCAAAUCAGCACGGCCCUUACGUCCAGGGCUACACACGUGCUACAAUGGCCGGUACAAAGGGCAGCUACCUGGUGACAGGAUGCUAAUCUCAAAAGCCGGUCUCAGUUCGGAUCGGAGUCUGCAACCCGACUCCGUGAAACUGGAAUCGCUAGUAAUCGCGCAUCAGCCAUGGCGCGGUGAAUACGUUCCCGGGCCUU
rnacentral:rRNA from 1 species